rnacentral:rRNA from 1 species
UACGGAGGGGGCUAGCGUUAUUCGGAAUUACUGGGCGUAAAGCGCACGUAGGCGGCUUGUUGCGUCGACUGUGAAAACCCGCGGCUUAACCGCGGGCCUGCAGUUGAUACGGGCAGGCUAGAGUUCGGUAGGGGAGACUGGAAUUCCACGUGUAGCGGUGAAAUGCGUAGAGAUGUGGAGGAACACCAGUGGCGAAGGCGACUCUUUGGCCUGUAACUGACACUGAGGCGCGAAAGCGUGGGGAGCAAACAGG